CACGGGGGUUGCGAGCGUUGUCCGGAAUUACUGGGUUUAAAGGGUCCGUAGGCGGUCUUAUAAGUCAAUGGUGAAAGCCCAUCGCUCAACGAUGGAACUGCCAUUGAUACUGUAAGACUUGAAUUUUUGUGAAGUAACUAGAAUAUGUAGUGUAGCGGUGAAAUGCUUAGAUAUUACAUGGAAUACCAAUUGCGAAGGCAGGUUACUAACAAACGAUUACGCUGAUGGACGAAAGCGUGGGGAGCGAACAGGAUUAGAUACCCUGGUAGUCCACGCCGUAAACGAUGGAUACUAGCUGUUCGGAGCAUCUGAGUGGCUAAGCGAAAGUGAUAAGUAUCCCACCUGGGGAGUACGCACGCAAGUGUGAA
rnacentral:rRNA from 1 species